rnacentral:RNase_P_RNA from 1 species
GUAGCAGGCUAUCUUAUCGCUUUAUACCUUGUAAUAGGGGAGAAGAGGAAAGUCCGGACACCAUAGAGCAGCAUAGCGGAUAACAUCCGUCAUCCCGAUAACUAUCGAGAUAGGACAAGUGCAACAGAAAGAAUGUACAGGUAAUGCUGUAGUGAAAUCAGGUAAACUCUAUGCGGUGCAACGCCAUGUAAACCAAUGCUUGAGAAUUGCUCGUUCAAUAUUGGAGGGUAGGCGGUUAGAAUUGCCAGGCAACUGGUAAUCCAGAUAAAUGAUAAGACUCGACAGAAUCCGGCUUACAGGCCUGCUUUUUUU